UACGAAGGGUGCAAGCGUUACUCGGAAUUACUGGGCGUAAAGCGUGCGUAGGUGGUUGUUUAAGUCUGUCGUGAAAGCCCUGGGCUCAACCUGGGAAUGGCGAUGGAAACUGGACGACUAGAGUGUGGCAGAGGGUAGUGGAAUUCCUGGUGUAGCAGUGAAAUGCGUAGAGAUCAGGAGGAACAUCCGUGGCGAAGGCGACUGCCUGGGCCAACACUGACACUGAGGCACGAAAGCGUGGGGAGCAAAC
rnacentral:rRNA from 1 species